rnacentral:rRNA from 1 species
UACGGNGUAGGCAGCAGUGGGGAAUAUUGGGCAAUGGGCGAAAGCCUGACCCAGCAACGCCGCGUGAAGGAAGAAGGUCUUCGGAUUGUAAACUUCUUUUAUGAGGGACGAAGGACGUGACGGUACCUCAUGAAUAAGCCACGGCUAACUACGUGCCAGCAGCCGCGGUAAU